UACGUAGGGUGCAGGCGUUAAUCGGAAUUACUGGGCGUAAAGCGUGCGCAGGCGGUUUGCUAAGACAGGUGUGAAAUCCCCGGGCUUAACCUGGGAACUGCGACUUAAACUGUGGAUCUGGAGUAUUGUAGAGGGUAGUGGAAUUUCCGGUGUAGCGGUGAAAUGCGUAGAUAUCGGAAGGAACAUCAGUGGCGAAGGCGGCUACCUGGACAGAUACUGACGCUGAGGCGCGAGAGCGUGGGGAGCAAACAGG
rnacentral:rRNA from 1 species